rnacentral:rRNA from 1 species
UACAGAGGGUGCGAGCGUUAAUCGGAAUUACUGGGCGUAAAGCGCGCGUAGGCGGCUUUUCAAGUCGAUUGUGAAAUCCCCGGGCUUAACCUGGGAACUGCAGUCGAGACUGUCUAGCUAGAGUAUGGGAGAGGGAAGUGGAAUUUCAGGUGUAGCGGUGAAAUGCGUAGAUAUCUGGAGGAACACCGGUGGCGAAGGCGGCAUCCUGGACCGAGAUUGACGCUGAUGCGCGAAAGCCAGGGGAGCAAACGGG